UGGGGAAUUUUGGACAAUGGGGGAAACCCUGAUCCAGCCAUUCCGCGUGUGCGAUGAAGGCCUUCGGGUUGUAAAGCACUUUUGGCAGGAAAGAAAUCGCACAAAUUAAUACUUUGUGUGGAUGACGGUACCUGCAGAAUAAGCACCGGCUAACUACGUGCCAGCAGCCGCGGUAAUACGUAGGGUGCAAGCGUUAAUCGGAAUUACUGGGCGUAAAGCGUGCGCAGGCGGGUCGGAACGAGAGGUGUG
rnacentral:rRNA from 1 species